rnacentral:rRNA from 1 species
UGCGUAGGGCGCAAGCGUUAUCCGGAAUUAUUGGGCGUAAAGAGCUCGUAGGCGGUUUGUCGCGUCUGCCGUGAAAGUCCGGGGCUCAACUCCGGAUCUGCGGUGGGUACGGGCAGACUAGAGUGAUGUAGGGGAGACUGGAAUUCCUGGUGUAGCGGUGAAAUGCGCAGAUAUCAGGAGGAACACCGAUGGCGAAGGCAGGUCUCUGGGCAUUAACUGACGCUGAGGAGCGAAAGCAUGGGGAGCGAGCAGG